AUCAGCGGCGAUAGCACAUUGAAUACACCAGUUUCUCAUGGAUCACUAAAGUUAAGCAACGUUACACUUGCUUGGUAUCCGGAUCGGUGACCAUCUGGGGAAUCGUGUACUGCUGAUU
rfam:Asian citrus Psyllid, Diaphorina citri - Florida Strain, whole genome shotgun sequence.